rnacentral:misc_RNA from 1 species
GAAAUGCGAUAAUUAAUGUGAAUUGCAGAAUUCAGUGAAUCAUCGAGUCUUUGAACGCACAUUGCGCCCCCCUGGUAUUCCGGGGGGUAUGCCUGUCCGAGCGUCAUUGCUGCCCUCAAGCACGGCUUGUGUGUUGGGCUUCCGUCCCUGGCAACGGGGACGGGCCCAAAAGGCAGUGGCGGCACCAUGUCUGGUCCUCGAGCGUAUGGGGCUUUGUCACCCGCUCCCGUAGGUCCAGCUGGCAGCUAGCCUCGCAACCAAUCUUUUUAACCAGGUUGACCUCGGAUCAGGUAGGGAUACCCGCUGAACUUAAGC